rnacentral:lncRNA from 1 species
CUACGGUCAGAUCCACAGGGAUACUAGUAAGCAAACUUGUGGGCACUUCAGCGGGUGUAGUCGCAGAAGGUUCCGGAAUGACUUCCGGUGCAAGUACAUUAACACUUGGCACAAAACCAGCUGCAUUUUCACUGGAUGACGGAACAUCAACUUUGGGGUAUAGAGGAGCUGCUGCAGAUGCUGAGGGAGAUUUCUUGGGCUCAGCAGCUUCACGGUAUAUCAAAGGCUCCAGCAGUUCAAUUCUAGUGUCAUUGACAUGUUCAUCUAGGACUUGGUUGGCAGGCUCAACGUUGACAUCAAUCAAAUUACUUGCGUUUGUGAUGUCGCUUUCCUGAGGCAGACUACUUGUGUUUGUGAUGUUGCUUUCCUGAGGCUGAUUCAAGU